UGUGGUGUGUUUUUGUGUGUGCAUGUGCAUGUGCGUGUCUGCACAUACACACACAUGCACACACAGACACACAUGCACACAGCACA
rnacentral:miRNA from 14 species